GACGAACGCUGGCGGCGUGCUUAACACAUGCAAGUCGAACGGAAAGGCCCUGCUUUUGUGGGGUGCUCGAGUGGCGAACGGGUGAGUAACACGUGAGUAACCUGCCCUUGACUUUGGGAUAACUUCAGGAAACUGGGGCUAAUAUCGGAUAGGAGCUCCUGCUGCAUGGUGGGGGUUGGAAAGUCUCGGCGGUUGGGGAUGGACUCGCGGCUUAUCAGCUUGUUGGUGGGGUAGUGGCUUACCAAGGCUUUGACGGGUAGCCGGCCUGAGAGGGUGACCGGCCACACGGGAACUGAGACAGGGACAAGACUCCUGAGGGAGGCAGCAGGGGGGAAUAGUGGAAAAAGGGGGCAAGCGUGAUCCAGCCAGACCGGGGGGGGGAAGAAGGCGUUCGGGGUGGAAAGCCCUUUUGUUGGGAAAGAAAAGAAGCAGGUUAAGACCCAGCGGUUGUGACGGUACCCAAAGAAUAAGCACCGGCUAACUUCGUG
rnacentral:rRNA from 1 species